rnacentral:rRNA from 1 species
GAUGAACGCUGGCGGCGUGCCUAAUACAUGCAAGUCGAGCGAACGGACGAGAAGCUUGCUUUUCUGAUGUUAGCGGCGGACGGGUGAGUAACACGUGGAUAACCUACCUAUAAGACUGGGAUAACUUAGGGAAACCGGAGCUAAUACCGGAUAAUAUUUUGAACCGCAUGGUUAAAAAGUGAAAGACGGUGUUGCUGUUGCUUAUAGAGUGGACCGGGCUGCAUUAGCUAGUUGGUAAGGUAACGGCUUACCAGGGCAAAGAUGCAUAGCCGGCCUGAGAGGAUGAUCAGCCAGACUGGGACUGAGACACGGCCCAGACUCAUACGGGAGGCAGCAGUGGGGAAUAUUGGACAAUGGGAGCAAGACUGAUCAAGCAAUGACGCGUGAGUGAUGAAGGCCCUAGGGUUGUAAAGCUCUUUUAACCGGGAAGAUAAUGACUGUACCGGGAGAAUAAGCCCCGGCUAACUCCGUG